rnacentral:rRNA from 1 species
UAGCUAGUUGGUGAGGUAAAGGCUUACCAAGGCGACGAUCUGUAGCGGGUCUGAGAGGAUGAUCCGCCACACUGGAACUGAGACACGGUCCAGACUCCUACGGGAGGCAGCAGUGGGGAAUUUUGGACAAUGGGGGCAACCCUGAUCCAGCCAUGCCGCGUGAGUGAAGAAGGCCUUCGGGUUGUAAAGCUCUUUCGGCCGGGAAGAAAUCGCAUGGGCCAAUACCCUGUGUGGAUGACGGUACCGGAAUAAGAAGCACCGGCUAACUACGUGCCAGCAGCCGCGGUAAUACGUAGGGUGCGAGCGUUAAUCGGAAUUACUGGGCGUAAAGCGUGCGCAGGCGGUUUUGUAAGACAGGCGUGAAAUCCCCGGGCUUAACCUGGGAACUGCGUUUGUGACUGCAAGGCUAGAGUACGGCAGAGGGGGGUGGAAUUCCACGUGUAGCAGUGAAAUGCGUAGAGAUGUGGAGGAACACCAAUGGCGAAGGCAGCCCCCUGGGUCGAUACUGACGCUCAUGCACGAAAGCGUGGGUAGCAAACAGGAUUAGGUACCCUGGUAGUCCACGCCCUAAACUAUGUCAACUAGGUGUUGGGUGGGUAAAACCAUUUAGUACCGUAGCUAACGCGUGAAGUUGACCGCCUGGGGAGUACGGCCGCAAGGUUAAAACUCAAAGGAAUUGACGGGGACCCGCACAAGCGGUGGAUGAUGUGGAUUAAUUCGAUGCAACGCGAAAAACCUUACCUACCCUUGACAUGCCAGGAACUUGCCAGAGAUGGCUUGGUGCCCGAAAGGGAGCCUGGACACAGGUGCUGCAUGGCUGUCGUCAGCUCGUGUCGUGAGAUGUUGGGUUAAGUCCCGCAACGAGCGCAACCCUUGUCGUUAAUUGCCAUCAUUUAGUUGGGCACUUUAACGAGACUGCCGGUGACAAACCGGAGGAAGGUGGGGAUGACGUCAAGUCCUCAUGGCCCUUAUGGGUAGGGCUUCACACGUCAUACAAUGGUCGGUACAAAGGGUUGCCAAGCCGCGAGGCGGAGCCAAUCCCAGAAAGCCGAUCGUAGUCCGGAUUGCAGGCUGCAACUCGCCUGCAUGAAGUCGGAAUCGCUAGUAAUCGUGGAUCAGCAUGUCACGGUGAAUACGUUCCCGGGUCUUGUACACACCGCCCGUCACACCAUGGGAGCGGGUUCCGCCAGAAGUAGGUAGCCUAACCGCAAGGGGGGCGCUUACCACGGCGGGGUUCGUGACUGGGGCGAAGUCGUAACAAGGUAGCCGUAGGGGAACCUGCGGCUG